UUGGAGGGCAAGUCUGGUGCCAGCAGCCGCGGUAAUUCCAGCUCCAAUAGCGUAUAUUAAAGUUGUUGCAGUUAAAAAGCUCGUAGUUGAAUUUCGGGAUUAGUACGCUGGUCGUGCCUUCGGUACGUACUGGUGUUACUGAUUCCUACCUUCUGACGAACCAUCAUGUCAUUCAUUUGGUGUGGUGGGGAAUCAGGACUGUUACUUUGAAAAAAUUAGAGUGUUUAAAGCAGGCUCGCGCUUGAAUACAUUAGCAUGGAAUAAUGAAAUAGGACGUUGAUCCUAUUUUGUUGGUUUCUAGGAUUGACGUAAUGAUUAAUAGGGAUAGUUGGGGGCAUUAGUAUUCAAUUGUCAGAGGUGAAAUUCUUGGAUUUAUUGAAGACUAACUACUGCGAAAACAUUUGCCAAGGAUGUUUUCAUUAAUCAAGAACGAAAGUUAGGGGAUCGAAGACGAUCAGAUACCGUCGUAGUCUUAACCAUAAACUAUGCCGACUAGGGAUCGGGUGAUGUUAUUUUUAAUGACUCAUUCGGCGCCUUACGGGAAAC
rnacentral:rRNA from 1 species